GUGAGUUUUCCCUCCAAUUUGGCUUUAUAAGGGAGGGAACUGGUUAGAUCUGCCAUUUUGCCAGAGGCUGUGUAUGGCGAUACUUUCUGUAGCUCCCUGGUCUGGAAAGUAUAUAUUUGUUGGGUAUUAUCCUUAACAGGUAAGUGGGGAUGAUACUGCUUGUUGUAGGGGUGCAUGGUAAGUAUGCUUUUUUUAGGAUUGAUGUCCUUUAUUCCUUAGGUUUGAACAACAUUGGCUGUAGUUGAGGUUCAGCUUAUUCAUGUCAGUGAGGCUGUUGGUGUUUGUAUUACUCAUGUUUGAAAGUGUGUUGCUUGGCUUAGAUGUGUACAAGAGAAUGCUUAAUUAAUCUGGCUGUUUUUAAUUUUUUUUUUUAAUUACUGGUUUCUUUAGGGAAAGUCUUGCUAUGGAUUAGAUUUGGGGUUCUUUGUCCUUGAUGUGAGAGUGAAAGGUUAGAUCAAUUUUAUGUGAGUAUGCUGCCUAAUUUUGUCUUUUUAACAGAUCUUAAUCUUAUGUGGGAAAAUUCCAGCAGUGGAGGUGCUUCAGCCUUGCCAGGUAAGCUUGUGGUAUGGUUUGGGGGAUGAAGAGUUUUUUUUUUUUUCUUUUCCUUUGAUGUGCAGAACGUAUUCCUUCAUUCUUGGCAGGGCAGGUGAGUGGAAAUACUGGUUAUUUUUUUUAGGGGUACAGGAAACUAUGCACAAUUCUAUCAGAUUAGUAUGAAAAUGAAUUGCUUUAACAAUAUCUUUGUUUAAUAGGUGGGGUCAUCACUGGUUUUGAUAAAUUCCAACCAUGCAGGCCUCAAUGUUAGAGGUUAGUACAGAUGAUGGUAUCUGUGAUGGGGUGAGGAAAUGUGUUUGGAUGUGUAUUAUCAUUCUUCCUCCUCAGUGUCCUUGUACAGACUGGUCAUUUAUUUAGAAAAGCCUGACCAUGGAAGGAAAUUCAGCCUUGGUAGGUGAGUAAAGUUGCUGGUGCUUGUUUUGGGGGGUAUUAGAAAAAUAUCCAACUCACCUAUCUUUGUUAGGUUAGUGGUGAUGAUCUUAAUUUCAUAGAAUGGGCUUCAGGUGCACCCAGGUGCUUUUCAGUCUUUAUGGGUGAGUAGGAAUGCAGGUGCUUGCGAUUGGUUGUGGACAAAUGGAUGGUGGUGAUGCUGGGGUUUAUAACAUUAUGCAUAUUCUUUUGCAGGCUGGGCACACAGAGAAAAAUGCAUUUCAAGGCAAGGCAAAUCAACCUUUGUAAGUGAGUGUGCAUCCUUGUGGUUUUCAAUGGGUAAUAGGUUAUGCACAUCUAAACAAAUGUGUGCCACAAAUUAAUAAUUUUCCCUAAACCUUUAUUAUUCUUGGCCUAUGCUUGCAGGUAAGUGGUUUUGCUAGUACACGCAAUGCAGUGGUUUUGGUGGAGUGAUGGUACUUUAAAACACAUCUUUAACCUUGCUAACUGUUUUACAGGUUGAGCCUGGUGUAGGAAAAGUUAAGUAACAGAGCCAGGCGACCUUGUACUCUUGGAGCUUGUGAUGGGUAUGUAAACAGUGUGCAUGUAUUGUGAUUGUUUACAUUGGUUAUCUGUUAUCAGUGUUCCUGGCUAUGGAGAUGUCUAGCCACUGGGGUUCUUCAGGUUUGGCAGGUUAUUCAAAAGUCCUGUUUCUUUUGGUAGUUAUAUUGAUGGAUUGACAAAUCCAUUAUGAUGUUGUCCUUCUUAAGCCCAAGCAUCUGUUUUACAAGUUGAGGCAUUUUGUGGAAAGUGUUUAAGCUUUGGCAGGUGAGUGGGGAUGCUAGUGCUUCUGAGAAAAGGUGCUGUGAGAAGCUUCAAAUGGCUUUCUGUGUACAUGUGUAUACCACAGGUGAGUGGAAAUACUGGUUAUUUUGUUAGGGGUACAGGAAAAAACACCUAAUUCUGAUUCAUAUGAAAAUGUUUUACUUUAACAAUGUAUCUUUAUUUAAUAGGUUGGGUCACUGAUUUGGAUAAAUUCCAGCAAUGCAGGCCUCAGUGUUAGAGGUUAGUAUGGAUGAUGGUAUUUGUGAUGGGGUGAGGAAAUGUUUGGAUAUCAUUCAGUGUGACCAUGGAAGGAAAUUCAACCUUGGUAGGUGAGUAAAGUUGCUGCUUGUUUUGGAAAACAAGCCACCUCACCUACCAGCCUUGUUAGGUUAGUGGUAAUCUUAACUUCAUAGUAUGGACUUCAGGUGGACCCAGCUGCUCUUCAGUAUUCAUGGGUGAGUAGGAAUCCAGGUGCUUGAGAUUGGUUUUGGACAAAUGGAUGGUGUUUAUUUUGUAGUUUAUAUUAUGCAUUUUCUUUUGCAGGCUGGGCACAUGGAGCAAAAUGCAGUUCAAGAGGCAAAUCAACCUUUGUAGGUGAAUGAAUAGAUAUUAGGUCAUGCACAUCUAAACGUUUGCCACAAAUUACAGAUUAAUCAUGUUUCCUAAACCUUUAUUAUUCUCUGCCUAUGCUUGCAGGUGAGUGGUUUUGCUGGCAUACUCAAUGUAGUGGUUGGGGUGCAGUGAUGGUACUUUAAAACACAUCUUUCAACCUUGCUACCUUUGUUUUACAGGUUAGGCCCUGGUGUAGGAAAAGUUAAGUAACAGCCAGGCGAUCUUGUACUCUUGGAGCUUGUGAUGGGUAUGUAAACAGUGUGCAUGUAUCGUGAUUUUUACAUUGGUUAUCUAUUAUAGGUGUUCCUGGCUAUGGAAACAUCUAGCCACUGGGGUUCUUCAGGCUUGGCAGGUUAUUCAAAAGUCCUGUUUCUUCUGUUAGUUAAAUUGAUGGAUGGUCAAAUCCAUUAUGAUGUUUGUCAUUCUUUAGCCCAAGCAUCUUUGUUUUAUAGGUUGAGGCAUUUUGUGGUAAGUGUUUGAGCUUUGGCAGGUGAGUGGGGAUUCUAGUUCUUCUGUGUGAAAACGUAUAAACUGCUUUCAUGUGUACAUGUGUAAUGCUUUACCAUUUUUUCUUAACCUUGGUAAAUUUUGUCCUAGCUUUCAAUAUAUCUACAAUUAACAAAUGUUUCUUAUAUAAAAAAUAUAUGAUGCUGUGUAGACACUUAGUAUAAACAACCAACUAAUUUAUGGUACCUCACUGCUUGAGUAAUUUUUGGCAUGUUUGGGAAAGGUGUGAUCUGUUGCUUUGUAUGUAAUGUACAUAUAUAGCGUUAGCCUGGAUUUAUUUUUAUAGCUUGUGAUUGGAAAAAGACAGGUUGUUGUGGCAAUUUAGGUAAGUGGAAAUGAAAGGGAUAAAAUAAGUUUUGCUUUUUUUUUUAUAUGGGCUCUUUGUUUUAUAGAUUUGACUUUUUGGGACAUGCCAGUGAGUAUCUUCAACUGUGGUUGGUGAAAGUGGUAUUUGUGCUUGUAUUUGAUGAAAGGGUGAGACUUGUUUGUUUUUGUUUGUGCUUUUGACAAGUGCAGUGAAGGGGGAACUUUAUUCUGAACAGGUGAGUGAUGCAGAUGUUUGAAGAGUUGUUGGAUGGACAAUCUAUUGCCUUUUUCAGCCCUGGCAUCUUUGUUUUACAGGUUAUAAAUGCCUGCACUUUAGCCUUGGCAGAAAUGUAAGUUUCGGGAAAUGUCUGCUCAGUGUUGUACUUCAUCUUCUGUGUAUAACCUGUGAUCUUGUUUCGACUGGUGUCUUAACUCAUGCUUUAGAGCAAGGAAUUCUGGCAGAGGAGGACCUUCAGCCUUGGAAGAUUAGGAACUGGUUUGGGAACAUCUCGCCUUUCCGGUGUCUCCUUAUAAUGAUGCCCCACCAACUCUGCACCUGUCUAGUCUACACCUAGCUCCAUCUCAAGUGGAUGUGGAACCCGACAUUUCCUUUCACCCUGCCAUAUCAAGUUGGACAUUGAAUUAGAAUUGUAAAAUGUUUGCUUUUAUUAAAUACAUUUUAAAUUUCAAUUAAAUGCAUUUUUAUUCAUUUAAGUGGGCUUCUACAGACAUAUUAGUUAAAUAUUUUCUGAGGUCUAAUGUAAAAAGUCUUAGAAAUUAACAUACUAACUAACUUUCUGAAAUAACUGACCCAUUAAC